GUUUCUGCAUCACCGUCGAGGCCGCCUCGCUUUCUUGCACCUCGAGUUGGCAACGCUAUCAAGCGGUGUCGCCGCCUGGCAGACGCUGGCUGAAUCACGUGCCUAUCAUCGAGGCGACGGGAGCGACCAUACUGCGUUCAUAUCAUCGAGAACUCGAUGAGGGGGACUUCAAGAAGCACCCAGCCAUCUCAACGACGAAUCAAGAAUCGACGCGAGUGAUGUCAGCACCUGCCCCGACUGGCUCCUGCCGAUGAGGAGUCGCCAAAGGGGACUUAAAGGAGAACCGGUGCAUUGUAAAGAGAGAGAGAAAGUCGCCUCCAGCCACCCAGUCGGUCUGAUGCGCUCUUACAGCUACAUGUACGCUAUCAUCCACUAUCUGUAAAUAUUGUAUAAAGUUUUUCGUUUCUUCUUCGUC